AGGGGUGCCUGAGGAGAAAGGGGUGCUGGUUCUUCCUUAUAUCCCCUGCCUGCCUCAGCUGGGCUCUGACCCAGCCAGCAGACUGGAGUCCUCUUCUGCAUGGUAAGGAAACUGAGGCUUAGAGGAGUUAUGAAACUGCCCAAGGUUUCACAGCUGAAAUGUAUAAGGACCUGGACUUGCAAAUUUGGCACAAAGUUCUUCUAAUAAGAGGCCAUAAAAUAACCAAAUGAUUUUUUAUGUGCCUGUAGAACCAAAAGAACUAUUUCAGAAUGUCAGCUGAAAAGCACGAUAUUCCAGAUAGUCUUAGCAAACGGCACACCAGAAGAUUAUAUCCCAAGCCUGGCUCAGAAGGUCCUAUGCCCACGGAGCCUCAAUCAUUGCUAGCACAACAGUCUGAGAUCAAACUGCAAGGUGGCAGCAAGGCUGGGGGAGGGGCGCCCGCCAUUGCCAAGGCUUGACUUAGAAACCUUGGCAUAGUGCCUUCCUGGAAAUCCCGGAUUGCAUCUAAAACCAUGUGGCAGAGGGAGAAACAACAGACAGGCCAUCCUGAGAAGACUCAGGCUGGGACGAAAGCUCUGCUCUCCAGGGACAAAGCAGCAGGGGACCAGCCAUGCUCAGAAAUACUCCACUGGCCAGUGCACAUUUUUUUGAGCAAUUUCACUUGCUUCCACACCACCUGCCCCCCUA
rnacentral:antisense_RNA from 1 species